rnacentral:rRNA from 1 species
CAGUCGCCGCGGGAAUACGGAGGGAGCUAGCGUUGUUCGGAAUUACUGGGCGUAAAGCGCGCGUAGGCGGUUACUCAAGUCAGAGGUGAAAGCCCGGGGCUCAACCCCGGAACUGCCUUUGAAACUAGGUGACUAGAAUCUUGGAGAGGUCAGUGGAAUUCCGAGUGUAGAGGUGAAAUUCGUAGAUAUUCGGAAGAACACCAGUGGCGAAGGCGACUGACUGGGCAAGUAUUGACGCUGAGGUGCGAAAGCGUGGGGAGCAAACAGGAUUAGAUACCCCCGUAGUCCCUGUCUCUUAUAC